GCAAGUCGAACGCGAACGGGAUUUCGGUCCUUAUUAGAGUGGCGCACGGGUGAGUAACGCGUAGACAACCUACCCUUUAGCUCGGAAUAACUUCUCGAAAGGGAUGCUAAUACCGGAUAAUACUCAGUAACGAAUGUUGCUAAGUUGAAAGGUUUACCACUAGGGGAUGGGUCUGCGUAACAUUAGUUUGUUGGUGGGGUAACGGCCUACCAAGGCGACGAUGUUUAGCGGGUCUGAGAGGAUGAUC
rnacentral:rRNA from 1 species